UACAGAGGUCUCAAGCGUUGUUCGGAUUCAUUGGGCGUAAAGGGUGCGUAGGCGGCGCGGUAAGUCGGGUGUGAAAUCUCGGGGCUUAACUCCGAAACUGCAUUCGAUACUACCGUGCUUGAGGACUGGAGAGGAGACUGGAAUUUACGGUGUAGCGGUGAAAUGCGUAGAUAUCGUAAGGAAGACCAGUGGCGAAGGCGGGUCUCUGGACAGUUCCUGACGCUGAAGCACGAAGGCCAGGGGAGCAAACGGG
rnacentral:rRNA from 1 species